GCUGUUACAGUGUAGUCACUUAGUUCGAACGUGGGUUCUACGAGGCAUAGAACACGAUCCCCCGCCCGCCGCCGAUCCACGUGAGCCGGCUGAUUGCGCAAUAGUGCACGCUGACUUUGACCCCCGUGCAGGCAUGCAUAUCCGGGUCACAGGCGCUUCAUAUUUCAGAGGCAACAUGGCCACGGUAGAAGGAACACGUGAACGUAAAAAAACACCCGAAAAUGCGCAUUUUCUUGGUCAGAGCCGCAUUUUUCCCCGUAGAAGAGUGGAUAAGUGCCUUCGUCAUUGAACAUCCGACUUAGGCUUGACAAGUGCUGGGAGAAAAUGAAGUACCAGGAAUGAGAAGAGGAUGACAACUCACACAAGUCCUUAUUCAAGGUAGCCCCAAGGCCAGACUAUGCUGACAACAAAUUGCAUGCUGCAUCCUUUAUUCAAAACAAGUCUCUACAAGGAUCAUGAACUAAUUUAUACAAUGCAACAAGAUAAGUGAGUUAAAAAGGUUACUUCACAGAAGCAAAAUUCCUCUUUUAAUCUGUCAACAGACUGUCUGAACAUUUGUCAUAUCAUGAUGCUAGGAGGCAGUGAUAUGUGGGAAUAACUGUCACCAAUCUUAGUCUGGAUUUAACAUAAAUGCA